rnacentral:rRNA from 1 species
GAAAUAUUGAUUCCCGUACGGUCACCGAAGUUAAGCAACGUCGAGCCUGGUCAGUACCUAGAUUGGUAACCACUUGUGAAUACCAUGAGUUGUAA